UGUAGUUGAUGGAUACUCUUAUCCACAUCUGACAUAGAGCAUGAAUGUAGCUGGAAGGCAUAUAACAUCUUAUCUUGUUGACCUACUCUCAAGGAAAGGGUAUGCCAUGAAUAAAUCUGCUGAUUUUGAGACUGUCAGAGAAAUAAAAGAGAAACUGUUCUAUAUAAGCUAGGACUUGAGACCACAAUCCAUGUGAAAAGUUACACUGUAAGUUGUCCUGCUUGCAUUUCUUCCCUGUUCCUUUUCUUACUGUAAGCUUAGUUUUUGUGAUCAGCUUCCAGAUGGAAGAGUUAUUAAAGUAGGCUCCUGAAGCU